AUGUGCUUGCAUAUGAAAACUGACAACACAAAUGUCUACACACUGUAUGCUGUUCAGAGGAUACAGGUGUCGUCAGCAUGUAGUUGCCCAACCAGUGCCUCUCGGACUUGUUUUCAUCGUCUGACACAUCAGCAAUAUCUCUGGCCACCGAAGGAGAGUGCAAAUAAGAACCAUAAUAUGCAGAGGUGGAGAAAGAAACAAAAUAUUUUGAUGCGCCAAGUAAACAAUCUAAAGUAUUUCUUGCAGGGUUCAAAUGAUGAACAUAAGUCUUUGAAUACCGGCCACUGCUUCUUCAAGGUCUUGGGUUUCAACAAUAUUGUAGAAACUAGUGAAGUACAUAUACUAGCAGGUGCAAAUAUUUGUUUCCUAAGUGUUUGA
rnacentral:rRNA from 1 species